GAUAACGCACUUGCAAAUCUUGAUUGCACAUUACUAAUCUGCACCUGGAUUUGCAAGUGCGUUAUCAGAGAAUGGAAACAUUAGCAUUGAGGGUAGAGUGAAGUAUGGAGUUCCCCAUCUUACACGUGUUGGACCAUUUAGCGUUGAUGUGAGCUUGGAGGGUAACCUCAUCCUUUGCAAACAAGUGGAUCAACCUGGUAUGAUAGGGAAAGUUGGGAACAUACUUGGUGAGAGUAAUGUGAAUGUGAGUUUUAUGAGUGUUGGGAGAACGGUGAAGGGAAAGCAGGCAAUUAUGGCAAUUGGAGUAGACGAAGAACCAGACAAGGAUACUCAGAAGAAGAUUGGAGAGGUGUCUGCAGUUGAAGAAUUUGUCUUCCUUAAACUAUAGUCAAUAUUGCUGGCUAAUGGGAUGGAAUGGAACUUGUUAUUACGUAUUAUUAUCAAGUAAAAGAUAAAAAGGGUGUAAUGAAAUUUUAGCUGUGUCUGCUUAAUGUGUUGAUCAAAUUAAUUUACAAGGAACACUUAUCCUCAGUCUUUUAUGAUGUGUGCUGAUCCUGCUCUUCUACUCAGGUAAAACAUAAAAAUAAAGAAAUACUUUAUCGCAAAGGUUAUGGUGUUAGUUAUCAGUGUAAUACUUAUUCCUAUCUUCUCUUAAUAAAAGUAGUGUAGGGGCGGUCACCCAAUUAUGCCUUGUGCU
rnacentral:misc_RNA from 1 species